UACAGAGGUCUCAAGCGUUGUUCGGAUUCAUUGGGCGUAAAGGGCGCGUAGGCGGCGGGGUCAGUCGGGUGUGAAAUCUUGGGGCUUAACCCCGAAACGGCACUCGAAACUGCCCGGCUGGAGGACCGGAGAGGAGAUCGGAAUUCACGGUGUAGCAGUGAAAUGCGUAGAGAUCGUGAGGAAGACCCGUGGCGAAGGCGGAUCUCUGGACGGCUAAAACUGACGCUGAGGCGCGAAGGCCAGGGGAGCAAACGGG
rnacentral:rRNA from 1 species